rnacentral:lncRNA from 1 species
GUACCUUCUGCAAUCCGGUGCGCCGCAGCCGCUGGGCCCUGGACUCCACCGGCUCCUCGUCCGAGCUCUCUCCAACUUCGGCCUCCAGCUGCUCUGGGCCCAGCUCGGACUGGUCCGCCGGGCCCAAGGGCUCUGGUGCCUUCUGGAAAGCGCUGGCUGGGACUUCACCCUCCUCCUGCAUGUGACGGACACAGCACUGAUCCUGGCAGCUCCUUACCCCCAGCAGCCCGAAACUCACUCCUUAAUUACACAAGGGAAACCUUUUACCUCCGCAGCCAGAGUCUGGGGGGAAAGGCAGGCGUGGGAAGCACUAACUCCCUCUCUGGAUAUCUGGAACAAGGAGGACCUUAAACUUAACAAUAAAGCCAAUGAUGGUUCUACCAGUCUCCCCAAAGCCUCAAGUUUAAAAGCCAUAUGAACUGGCUGAUAGUGGAAAAUGGAAGCCAUGAGGAAAUCAGAUUAGAGUACUACCUGGUGAAGCCUGGAGGACCUACCAAGAAAAGCAAACUUGGAUCUUUGCAAGGUUAGAAGAACGAAUGGGAUCCAAGAAAAAGACUGGUCAUAUUCAACGGCUAAGAGCGUUGGAGAAGGCCUGUGGAGUCUCAGCAGGUCAGGUCCAUGACUCAUGAGUAGACACCUGUGUUUCUACUGCCUGGUGCCAUAAUCAUAAACAAGGAAGAAACUGAGGACAGGAGGGGCCAAACAAGUUACAGUUUCAUCCCUCCAGAGAGCCAACAGAGUAUUUUGCACGAAGUUGAAGCUAAACAGAGUAAUCAGCAAAUGCCUUUCCUUUCUCCUGCUGAUGUUUUGCCCGUACUCAGACCCCUUGACUUCUUAGCUUCUACCCAAAGUGAGCUUGUCAUCAAAGUUCUCCAAAAAUCUGCAGUGUUCUCUUGAGCAAAUCUGCUUCCAAGACUAUAGCGCUCUGAUGCAUUGAGAUGACAGCAAGCGGCAUUUUUCAGUCCUGUUACCCAUAUGGCUGCUACCACUGCAUCCUGUUAAAUAAUGUCUUCAACCCAAGAAACCUGCUUCCUAGGGAAGUUUCUCUCUCUCUGCAUUUGUUCCCACUAGAGAAUGACCAUCACCAGAUUCCUGAACUGAAAAUGCUGUUGACACUUUGGAAACUCGGGCCUCUAUUAAUAGGGUGACCAACUAUCCUGGUUUACCUUGAGUACAGGAUUUUCAAUGCUAAAACCAGAAAAACCAGGAUGGUUGGUCAUCUGCCUCAGACCUAAUAAAUACCAGUCAAUAAUUCAGCCAUGAGCUUUCUUAAGACACUGUCUUUUCUUGACUGUUGAAUAGUCUAGGACUUGAGUAGCAGCUCUUUCUGCUACUGGACACUUGUUUUACUACCCUAUUUCUCUAGAUUUUAUUUUGUGGCUAAUAAUUAAGACAUAAAAUCAUGGGUUCUGGUUAUGCCAAAGCACUCACUCUUCAAAAGUUUCCAUCCAGAGUUGGAUAAUCCCACACAGAAGGUGUUCUUUCAACAGACCAGCAUCCAAUAGACCCAAUGCAGCAUUUUUCUUCCUGGUUCCACAUUAAUACAUCCUAUCUCUGCUAUGCUUAGGUCCCUGAUUUAUAAAUAUUUCAGACAUAUUUUCUCAGGACACAGGGAGUACUUAAACUUCCACAUAGCAGAGAUACGACAUACAAUAAGCUGUUAUCUGGAAACUCCUAGUGAUGCUUUGAGUACUUUACAGUAAUCUUUCUGGUCUUCCUCUCAACCCCAUUAAGUUUUUCUGUAACUAGCUGGUGUAUCUGUCUCCAUCUUUAAGGAAUAAGUCCCUAUUUGCUCAUGCUAUAAUCUCCCUCAUGCUCUCCGUCCCUCCUUCCCUCUCCUUCUCUCUUUCUGUCUCUCUCUCUCUCCACCCUGAUUGUGAGAUGCUACACCUUAAUAGUUUUCUAUACCUAGAUCCCUUUUGAAGGAGUAAUUUCAGCCAUCACUGAAAUCUAUGCUUUUUUAUCUUGUUAGAUUUAUUUAGGACCUAAUGACUGUUUCUGAGCUAAUAAUAACGCAAUCAGCUCAUAUUUUUCUGAUACUCUAAGAGCAAUUACAUCUAGUUGCAUCACCUUUUCCUUUUUUAUUCAUGUAUCUUAGGCUUCUCAAGAUAUGAGACUAGCACUUGAGCCUGAGAUAAGCCUUAAGAAUUCCAGGAUAGUCUCUCCAUAGUUCCCUUUCUUGGAUAAAGUCAUUUCAAAACAUCUUAGUGGAUCAGAUUUGGAGCAGCCUACUUACACUGGUGAAUACCACAACUAAUAAAUAAUUGUUCUGCACCCCACCCACAUCUAAAGGAUUCAGGGUGUCUUUUACAGAUAUAGGACUCUCCUUUCUCUGUUUCUCUUCUCUCUCUUCUCCUUGAUUAAAGCUUUGCUUCAGCUGUCCCUGCUCACUACGGCACUGCACCUCACCAGCAUCUUCAUGGCCCUCACAUGGCUCAUGUGCAUAUCCUAACUCUGAUACUAAGGGAGGAGACCACCCCUCAUAUUGUCUUAUGCCCAAUUUCUGCCUCCAAAGAAAGAAGAAGUAAAAACUAAAAGGCAGAAAUGAAAUCCACAAGCAGACAGCCCGGCGCCACACCCUGGGCCUGGUAGUUAAAGAUCGACCCCUGACCUAAUCGGUUAUUUGCAUAAGAAAAGCACUGUGAAGAUCCCUGUCCUGUUCUGUUCCAUUCUAAUUACCGGUGUAUGCAGCCCCCAGUCAUGUACCCCUGCUUGCUCAAUCGAUCACGACCCUCUCACGUGGACCCCCUUAGAGUUGUGGGCCCUUAAAAGGGACAGGAAUUGCUCACUCGGGGAGCUUGGUUGUUGGAGAUGUGAGUCUUGCUAAAGCUCCCAGCCGAAUAAAGCCCUUCCUUCUUAA